AGGUAUAUAGCUCAGUGGUAGAGUGUGUGCUUAGCAUGCACAAGGUUCUGGGUUCAAUUCCUAGUAGCUCUA
rnacentral:tRNA from 1 species